GCUUUUGAACCCGGAGCGUCCGAUAAAAUUGAAACGAUUCAGAGAAGAUUAACACGGUCCCUGCCGCAAGAUGACACGCACAAAUCGAGAAAUGUUCCAAAUUUUU